rnacentral:rRNA from 1 species
CAGUCGCCGCGGUAAUACGUAGGGUGCGAGCGUUAAUCGGAAUUACUGGGCGUAAAGCGUGCGCAGGCGGUUCGUUAAGACAGAUGUGAAAUCCCCGGGCUUAACCUGGGAACUGCAUUUGUGACUGGCGAGCUAGAGUAUGGCAGAGGGGGGUAGAAUUCCACGUGUAGCAGUGAGAUGCGUAGAGAUGUGGAGGAAUACCGAUGGCGAAGGCAGCCCCCUGGGCCAAUACUGACGCUCAUGCACGAAAGCGUGGGGAGCAAACAGGAUUAGAUACCCGAGUAGUCCCUGUCUCUUAUAC